GCGCUCUUAGCUUAGCUGGAUAGAGCAACGGCCUUCUAAGCCGUAGGUCACAGGUUCGAAUCCUGUAGAGCGCACCA
rnacentral:tRNA from 1 species